rnacentral:rRNA from 1 species
UACGUAGGGAGCAAGCGUUUGUCCGGAAUCAUUGGGCGUAAAGCGCGCGUAGGUGGCUUCGUAAGUCCGUUGUGAAAGUCAAAGGCUCAACCUUUGAAAGCCGAUGGAUACUGCGGAGCUAGAGUACGGAAGAGGCGAGUGGAAUUCCUGGUGUAGCGGUGGAAUGCGCAGAUAUCAGGAAGAACACCAAUGGCGAAGGCAGCUCUCUGGGACGGUACUGACGCUGAGACGCGAAAGCGUGGGGAGCGAACAGG